rnacentral:rRNA from 1 species
GGCUACAGAACGAACGCUGGCGGCAUGCCUAACACAUGCAAGUCGAACGAACCUUCGGGGUGAGUGGCGCACGGGUGCGUAACGCGUGGGAACCUGCCCUUAGGUUCGGAAUAACAGUGAGAAAUCGCCGCUAAUACCGGAUAAUGUCUUCGGACCAAAGAUUUAUCGCCUUUGGAUGGGCCCGCGUUGGAUUAGCUAGUUGGUGGGGUAAAGGCUCACCAAGGCGACGAUCCAUAGCUGGUCUUAGAGGAUGAUCAGCCACACUGGGACUGAGACACGGCCCAGACUCCUACGGGAGGCAGCAGUGGGGAAUAUUGGACAAUGGGCGAAAGCCUGAUCCAGCAAUGCCGCGUGAGUGAUGAAGGCCUUAGGGUUGUAAAGCUCUUUUACCAGGGAUGAUAAUGACAGUACCUGGAGAAUAAGCUCCGGCUAACUCCGUG